CACACUGGGACUGAGACACGGCCCAGACUCCUACGGGAGGCAGCAGUAGGGAAUCUUCCGCAAUGGACGAAAGUCUGACGGAGCAACGCCGCGUGAGUGAUGAAGGUUUUCGGAUCGUAAAGCUCUGUUGUUAGGGAAGAACAAGUGCAAGAGUAACUGCUUGCACCUUGACGGUACCUAACCAGAAAGCCACGGCUAACUACGUGCCAGCAGCCGCGGUAAUACGA
rnacentral:rRNA from 1 species